AUGACAAAGAGAAACGAGUGAAAUUACUCAUUGUCUACAGUGUGAAAUGUUGAUGUAAACACAAAGCUAACACUCCGAGAUACUCGCAGGAGACGUGAGGGAGGAACCGAGGACCUGUGCGAUGGGAGUUUUACCGCGUUUAUCAAUGUCUUGGUGAGGUUUUUGAGAUCCUAUGGAAAAUUACAUGUGGAUUUGAGAUUCUACCUGACGAGAGAGAUGGCGAGCCACCCAUGAACCUGAUCUCUGCCUUGACCCAAGGAGUUGGAUCAAGAUCACCUAUUAUCCGCAGGAGCCCAUCCAUUCUUCUAUCUCCAUCACUUGAGCAUCACACUCCAGUGUGGUAGUAGUAUCACAGCAACCUUUUCCACUUGACUUGUAACUUAAAAAGUGCAUUUGUCACAAUAAAGGAUUAAAACUAAACUGAACAGUUUAUAACAGAAGGAACAAAACUGAACUUGAAUAAGACAACCAGUGCAACUCUGUUAUUUUUUGUCAGGGACACUUUGAUUCGUCUUUGUAUUAUUUUCUGGUAAUAUUGUUACCUUGUGAAGCAUUGAACUAACUGUUUUUAAAGGGUUAACAUCUGAGUGCCACGCUACAGACUAAGGACAGGCAAACAGUGCAAACUUCAUAAUCCAGCCCGGUCUCUUUUGUUGGUAUAUACUUAGGUGGAAAGUACUGCCUAGUUUCCCUGUAAGUUUUGGGAAAAUUACCCAGUACUUUCAGACUAAGGACGGGCAAACAGUGCAAACUUCAUAAUCCAGCCCGGUCUCUUUUGUUAGUAUAUACUUAGGUGGAAAGUACUGCCUAGUUUCCCUGUAAGUUUUGGUGAAAGUACGCUGUAGAUUUGAG